rnacentral:rRNA from 1 species
GACGAACGCUGGCGGCGUGCUUAACACAUGCAAGUCGAACGGAAAGGCCCUGCUUUUGUGGGGUGCUCGAGUGGCGAACGGGUGAGUAACACGUGAGUAACCUGCCCUUGACUUUGGGAUAACUUCAGGAAACUGGGGCUAAUACCGGAUAGGAGCUCCUGCUGCAUGGUGGGGGUUGGAAAGUUUCGGCGGUUGGGGAUGGACUCGCGGCUUAUCAGCUUGUUGGUGGGGUAGUGGCUUACCAAGGCUUUGACGGGUAGCCGGCCUGAGAGGGUGACCGGCCACAUUGGGACUGAGAUACGGCCCAGACUCCUACGGGAGGCAGCAGUGGGGAAUAUUGCACAAUGGGCGGAAGCCUGAUGCAGCAACGCCGCGUGCGGGAUGACGGCCUUCGGGUUGUAAACCGCUUUCGCCUGUGACGAAGCGUGAGUGACGGUAAUGGGUAAAGAAGCACCGGCUAACUACGUGCCAGCAGCCGCGGUGAUACGUAGGGUGCGAGCGUUGUCCGGAUUUAUUGGGCGUAAAGGGCUCGUAGGUGGUUGAUCGCGUCGGAAGUGUAAUCUUGGGGCUUAACCCUGAGCGUGCUUUCGAUACGGGUUGACUUGAGGAAGGUAGGGGAGAAUGGAAUUCCUGGUGGAGCGGUGGAAUGCGCAGAUAUCAGGAGGAACACCAGUGGCGAAGGCGGUUCUCUGGGCCUUUCCUGACGCUGAGGAGCGAAAGCGUGGGGAGCGAACAGGCUUAGAUACCCUGGUAGUCCACGCUGUAAACGGUGGGUACUAGGUGUGGGGUCCAUUCCACGGGUUCCGUGCCGUAGCUAACGCUUUAAGUACCCCGCCUGGGGAGUACGGCCGCAAGGCUAAAACUCAAAGGAACUGACGGGGCCCCGCACAAGCGGCGGAGCAUGCGGAUUAAUUCGAUGCAACGCGUAGAACCUUACCUGGGUUUGACAUGGAUCGGGAGUGCUCAGAGAUGGGUGUGCCUCUUUUGGGGUCGGUUCACAGGUGGUGCAUGGCUGUCGUCAGCUCGUGUCGUGAGAUGUUGGGUUAAGUCCCGCAACGAGCGCAACCCUUGUUCACUGUUGCCAGCACGUUAUGGUGGGGACUCAGUGGAGACCGCCGGGGUCAACUCGGAGGAAGGUGGGGAUGACGUCAAGUCAUCAUGCCCCCUAUGUCCAGGGCUUCACGCAUGCUACAAUGGCUGGUACAGAGAGUGGCGAGCCUGUGAGGGUGAGCGAAUCUCGGAAAGCCGGUCUCAGUUCGGAUUGGGGUCUGCAACUCGACCUCAUGAAGUCGGAGUCGCUAGUAAUCGCAGAUCAGCAACGCUGCGGUGAAUACGUUCCCGGGGCU